UGCCAGCAGCCGCGGUAACACGAACCGGACAAACGUUAUUCGGAAUCACUGGGCGUAAAGGGAGCGUAGGCGGCGCGGUAAGUCAGAUGUGAAAUCUCAGGGCUCAACCUUGAAACUGCAUCCGAUACUGCCGUGCUAGAGUAAUGGAGAGGUAAGUGGAAUUCUCGGUGUAGCAGUGAAAUGCGUAGAUAUCGAGAGGAAGACCAAUGGCGAAGGCAGCUUACUGGACAUUUACUGACGCUGAGGCUCGAAGGCUAGGGUAGCGAAAGGGAUUAGAUA
rnacentral:rRNA from 1 species